rnacentral:rRNA from 1 species
AAAGGACAAGCUGUGAUGGGGAGCGAAAUUUAGUAGCGAAGUUCCUGAUGUCACACUGCCAAGAAAAGCUUCUAGUGAGAAAGUAACUGCCCGUACCGCAAACCGACACAGGUAGUUGAGGAGAGAAUCCUAAGGUGUGCGAGAGAACUCUCGUUAAGGAACUCGGCAAAAUGACCCCGUAACUUCGGGAGAAGGGGUGCUGACCGCAAGGUCAGCCGCAGUGAAUAGGCCCAAGCGACUGUUUAUCAAAAACACAGGUCUCUGCAAAAUCGAAAGAUGACGUAUAGGGGCUGACGCCUGCCCGGUGCUGGAAGGUUAAGAGGAGAGGUUAGCGCAAGCGAAGCUUUGAAUUGAAGCCCCAGUAAACGGCGGCCGUAACUAUAACGGUCCUAAGGUAGCGAAAUUCCUUGUCGGGUAAGUUCCGACCCGCACGAAAGGCGUAACGAUUUGGGCACUGUCUCAACGAGAGACUCGGUGAAAUUAUAGUACCAGUGAAGAUGCUGGUUACCCGCGACAGGACGGAAAGACCCCAUGGAGCUUUACUGCAGUUUGAUAUUGCGUGUUUGUAUCACAUGUACAGGAUAGGUAGGAGCCGAAGAUACCGGGACGCCAGUCUCGGAGGAGGCAACGGUGGGAUACUACCCUUGUGAUAUGACCACUCUAACCCGCUGCUCUUAGCGAGCAGGGAGACAGUGUCAGACGGGUAGUUUGACUGGGGCGGUCGCCUCCAAAAAUGUAACGGAGGCGCCCAAAGGUUCCCUCAGAAUGGUUGGAAAUCAUUCGUAGAGUGUAAAGGCAGAAGGGAGCUUGACUGCGAGACCUACAAGUCGAGCAGGGACGAAAGUCGGGCUUAGUGAUCCGGUGGUUCCGCAUGGAAGGGCCAUCGCUCAACGGAUAAAAGCUACCCUGGGGAUAACAGGCUUAUCUCCCCCAAGAGUUCACAUCGACGGGGAGGUUUGGCACCUCGAUGUCGGCUCAUCGCAUCCUGGGGCUGUAGUCGGUCCCAAGGGUUGGGCUGUUCGCCCAUUAAAGCGGUACGCGAGCUGGGUUCAGAACGUCGUGAGACAGUUCGGUCCCUAUCCGUCGCGGGCGUUGGAAAUUUGAGAGGAGCUGUCCUUAGUACGAGAGGACCGGGAUGGACACACCGCUGGUGUACCAGUUGUUCUGCCAAGAGCAUCGCUGGGUAGCUAUGAGUGGACGGGAUAAACGCUGAAAGCAUCUAAGCGUGAAGCCCCCCUCAAGAUGAGAUUUCCCAUCACUUUAAGUUAGUAAGACCCCUGAGAGAUGAUCAGGUAGAUAGGUUGGGAGUGGAAGUACAGCGAUGUAUGGAGCGGACCAAUACUAAUCGGUCGAGGACUUAACCG